AAAGAAAAAGAAAAAGAAAAAAGAAAAAAGAAAGGGUCUGGAAAGAGUUGAGGAAAAAAGAACUUCGUUUGGGGUCUUUUGUAUCUCGGCUCUUUUCUCUCCUUUUCUCCUC
rnacentral:ribozyme from 14 species